AUGCUUUGGACUAAACAUGGCCAUGAGGAGGAAUUGUAUGAGUUGUAUUUUAAUAGCUGGCACUACAUUGUGUUCCUUUUGUGGCAGCCUGUGGCUGAUGGAUCUUCAGGCUCUAGGACACCCUCUCUCCCCACUCCCACGGUAGAUCCACCGCAAGCCUGUAGCCAUGAAAUAAGAGACCAUUUAUGUUUUCUGGCUACCUCCCACUCUCCUAUGAUUAUUUCCUUGCAUCCACACCUGUCCUUCAAAGUCCUUAACUGUAACAACACAGCUAUGGUCUGCCACGCUCAGGUGCCUUAACUGAAGUGUUGUCAGUAAUAAUGGUUCUAUACCAAGCUGGCCACUACUCCCCUUUGAACGCUUCUAAAUGUGGGACUGCUCCUUGUGUAGUCAUGAAGCAGCUCUGGACUUUCCCUACAUGCCUCGUCUGAACGCUUCAGGAUAAGAAAGAAUGCCAAUAGUGAUUCUUGAGUGAUGACGCCUUUUGAGCUCCAGUUUUGUCAGCCGAGAGAUUAGUAUGGUGGAGUUUGCAGCACUUAAGUCUGGCCUUUCCCUCUCCUUGUUCAUUCCAGUGUUUGCCCUGUCUGCCCUUAAGGCCUCUUUGCUGAGAUAUUCUUAAAUGAGCAUACAUUUGGCUCACAAAGAUCCAAAGUCAACUGCUUACAAAGUCUGUUGUCUUUGGAGGAAGGAAUUGUAUUAUUGUGGCUUUUUUCCUGGUCUAUUAAAAUGUUUUUGUACUAUCCUUGAUGCUACACCAAGGCAAAAUGCAAAAAUAUAACGUACAAAUCUGAUACAAGAAACACUUUUUUAAAAAUCCUAUAAACAUGAGAAAGGAGAUUCCAAACAUAGUUCAAAAAUCAUUAUGAAAAGGAGAAAGCUGGGCAACUAAAGUAUAGUGUAACCUCGACUUAAGAGUAUUCCAAUGUAAGGGUGUUUUGAGAUAAGAGUGUUGCUUGGUCUGUGUUUUGUGUUGACAUAAGAUCAGUAUUUUGAGUUAAGAGGGUGCACUAGUGUGAGAGUAAGGGAGCAGCCUCCGUGCCUUGUGCCUCGUGCUCUUGUCAGCUUUGGGAGAUUGCUGUAUGUUUUGUUCUCGUCUGCUUUGAGGAACUUUGGGUUAGUUGAUUUUGUGUGGUUUUUAUUCCUGGUCUGUUUGGUUUCACGAAGAGAGAGAGGGAGAGAGAACAAGAGAGGGACAGAGCCUGAAAUGAGUACAGUGUGAAGAAAAUGAUGCUUCUGCCUGUUGGCUUUGUGCUUUAUGCUUCUACCAUUUUAACAUUGAUCUUUCUUUUUAUUGUUUCAUGUGAAUGUGCAUUUAUACAUUAUUUGCUAUUUAUAAAGUACAUUUUCCUAUUUAAAAACACGUAACAAAAAUUGGGCAUGUUUUGGGGAUGAUACAGAUUAAUAGUAUUUCAAUGGGUAAUUUGCUUUGAGAUAAGAACAUUUUGAGUUAAGAGCUCAGUCACAGAACGAAUUAAACUCUUAAGUUAAGGCCUCACUGUACAGGCAUCAGGAUUUUUUUAAUGCACCCUGAAGGGAAGAAAAAAAAACACAUGGGAAAGGAUGAGGGAAAACUUGAAGUACCUAGAAUUAUCAAUGCAUUGUUUGGAUCUUUGAACAAAAGUGGUAAUUGCAGGCAUUAAUAACAUGAUUUCCCAAUGGUCCGUCAGGAUGAGCUACCAAGGAAGUUCCAGGUUUUGCUCAUGUACAACCAGUUUUGUGUCAGAGAUCCAAAGUAGUUCUUUGGAAGCACCUGGCAUUACCAAAGACAUUUCAUCCCCACUUUCCAGGGCAUUUUGAAUGAACCCACUAUGGUCUGAAAAACAACCUAUCUCUACUUUUGUAGGGGUUUCUAUCAUCUCAAAAAUAAGAUGGCAGGCAUCAAGUAAAUACAGUUAUUGUUUCUAAGACACAGAUUCAAACAAGAUCAAGCAACAGAAAGAGGAAUAUUUGGACCAAUACAAAUGAUCCUGAUGUAACAUACCAGUAAUAUUGCUAAAGUGUUUAAGCAUUUAACUAUAAUUCCUGAAUAAUAGUUUUAAAAGGUUCAGUGGAGAUUAGUAAAAAACAGUUUCUAAAAUCUUUCAUGAGAUAGGAUGUAACACGUGUUCAGUGGCAAGGGGAAGGGAAUGAGGGAGAGAGAGAGAGAAAGCAAGCUGGGAUAUUUCAAGAAAGAGGCAGUUUGAAUUCGUCUUUAUGAAGAUUCCAAAAAUAUGGGAAAUCUCAAAACUUACUGAGAUUUUGUUACCCAUCUGGAAGCACUCAAAUUGCUUGCGAGAUACAGUAGGAAAUAUGGUCUUGUCCAUGACUGCUGCUUCAAAUGGCAAAACCGGAGAGCGGUAUCCAAAGAAGCAUAAGUAAGCUGCUGACUUCCAAAUACUUCUUCUUGAGCGCAGUGCCAUUCAAAGUGGUGGUCCUGUCCCAGUUGCAAUAACAAAGCCACGGGCCACUGGCUCUUUGUGAGUUGCAUGGUACAUUGAGGG
ensembl:lncRNA